rnacentral:rRNA from 1 species
UACGAAGGGGGCUAGCGUUGCUCGGAAUCACUGGGCGUAAAGGGUGCGUAGGCGGAUCUUUAAGUCAGAGGUGAAAUCCCAAGGCUCAACCUUGGAACUGCCUUUGAUACUGGGGAUCUUGAGUCCGGGAGAGGUGAGUGGAACUGCGAGUGUAGAGGUGAAAUUCGUAGAUAUUCGCAAGAACACCAGUGGCGAAGGCGGCUCACUGGCCCGGUACUGACGCUGAGGCGCGAAAGCGUGGGGAGCAGAACG